AUGGAUAUCUAUGACAUCACUCAGAAUCCAACAACUGUCAAUCACUAUUGCAACAAUCAACCUACCUGAAAGCUUUGUGGAAGCCUACAGCUUUACAGUAAUAGGUUACAUAAGCUUAAGGUAGAUCCAUACUGCUGAGCUUCAAGAUCAGCAUGUGACAUCUUCUCAAGCUUCAUGGACCAAAUAAGGUAUCCUGUGGCAGCUGAGAGUGAAGAAAUUGUGUCAUUCUGGACUGGAAGAAAUGUGUCAAGACAGCCAAUUAGUGUUUCCUAGAGACAUUAUGACUUUAAGAACUGUACCACUUCAAUAACAUGGAGUAA